rnacentral:rRNA from 1 species
UCUGGUUGAUCCUGCCAGUAGUCAUAUGCUUGUCUUAAAGAUUAAGCCAUGCAUGUCUAAGUAUAAGCUUUUAUACGGUGAGACUGCGAAUGGCUCAUUAAAACAGUUAUAGUUUAUUUGCUGAUCGUUUAUAUGGAUAACCGUAGUAAUUCUAGAGCUAAUACAUGCUGGUUGCGCAGUGCGUAGUAUUUAUUAGAUAUAAGCCAACGAGCGAGGACUCAUAGUAACUGAGCGGACUCCUACGGAAGUGCAGCAUUCAAGUUUCUGCCCUAUCAGCUUGAUGGUAGUGUAUUGGACUACCAUGGCAAUGACGGGUGACGGAGAAUUAGGGUUCGAUUCCGGAGAGGGAGACUGAGAAACGGCUAGCACAUCUAAGGAAGGCAGCAGGCGCGCAAAUUACCCAAAUCCUAACUCAGGGAGGUAGUGACAAGAAAUAACAACGCGGGGCUCUGUCUCGCGAUUGGAAUGAGAACAAUGUAAAAGCCUUAACGAGGAUCCACUGGAGGGCGAGUCUGGUGCCAGCAGCCGCGGUAAUACCAGCUCCAGUAGCGUAUAUUAAAGUUGUUGCAGUUGAAAAGCUCGUAGUUGAAAUUCUGUACGGAACGACGUCUUCGGAUGAUCGAGCCGUGCAUCCGCCUGAGCAGCAGGUCGGUACUUUGUUGCCGGUUUGUGAUCAGGCACUUUACCUUGAGCAAAUUAGAGUGUUCCAGGCAGGCGUCAGCCUGAAUAGUCCAGCAUGGAAUAAUAGAAGAGGACUGAAAACCACUGUUGGUGUUGUGGUAAUCAGUAAUGAUUAAUAGGGAUAGUUGGGGGCAUUCGUAUUUAAUUGUCAGAGGUGAAAUUCUAUGAUUUAUUAAAGACGAACCUAUGCGAAAGCAUUUGCCAAGGAUGUUUUCAUUAAUCAAGAACGAAAGUUAAGGGAUCAAAGACGAUCAGAUACCGUCGUAGUCUUAACCAUAAACUAUGCCGACUAGAGAUUGGAGGUGCAACUCCAAGACUCCUUCAGCAUCUUACGAGAAAUCAAAGUCUUGGGUUCUGGGGGGAGUAUGGUCGCAAGACUGAAACUUAAAGGAAUUGACGGAAGGGCACCACCAGGUGUGGAGCCUGCGGCUUAAUUUGACCCAACACGGGGAAACUUACCAGGUCCAGACAUAGCGAGGAUUGACAGACUGACAGCUCUUUCUUGAUUCUAUGGGUGGUGGUGCAUGGCCGUUCUCAGUUGGUGGAGUGAUUUGUCUGGUUAAUUCCGAUAACGAACGAGACCUCAGCCUGCUAAAUAGUC